AAUCAUGGCUCAGGAUGAACGCUGGCGGCGUGCUUAACACAUGCAAGUCGAACGAUGACUUUUGUGCUUGCACAAGAUGAUUAGUGGCGAACGGGUGAGUAACACGUGAGUAACCUGCCCCUGACUCUGGGAUAAGCCUGGGAAACUGGGUCUAAUACCGGAUAUGCACCGUGGACCGCAUGGUUCUUGGUGGAAAGAUUUUUUGGUCAGGGAUGGACUCGCGGCCUAUCAGCUUGUUGGUGAGGUAAUGGCUCACCAAGGCGACGACGGGUAGCCGGCCUGAGAGGGUGACCGGCCACACUGGGACUGAGACACGGCCCAGACUCCUACGGGAGGCAGCAGUGGGGAAUAUUGCACAAUGGGCGAAAGCCUGAUGCAGCGACGCCGCGUGAGGGAUGACGGCCUUCGGGUUGUAAACCUCUUUCAGUAGGGAAGAAGCGAAAGUGACGGUACCUGCAGAAGAAGCGCCGGCUAACUACGUGCCAGCAGCCGCGGUAAUACGUAGGGCGCAAGCGUUAUCCGGAAUUAUUGGGCGUAAAGAGCUCGUAGGCGGUUUGUCGCGUCUGCCGUGAAAGUCCGAGGCUCAACCUCGGAUCUGCGGUGGGUACGGGCAGACUAGAGUGAUGUAGGGGAGACUGGAAUUCCUGGUGUAGCGGUGAAAUGCGCAGAUAUCAGGAGGAACACCGAUGGCGAAGGCAGGUCUCUGGGCAUUAACUGACGCUGAGGAGCGAAAGCAUGGGGAGCGAACAGGAUUAGAUACCCUGGUAGUCCAUGCCGUAAACGUUGGGCACUAGGUGUGGGGGACAUUCCACG
rnacentral:rRNA from 1 species